rnacentral:rRNA from 1 species
CCUACGGGGGGCUGCAGUUAAGAAUCUUGCGCAAUGGACGAAAGUCUGACGCAGCGACGCCGCGUGAAGGAUGAAGGCUUUCGGGUUGUAAACUUCGGUAGACUGGGAAGAAAAAGUAAGUUCGUUGAGGGCUUACAUUGACGGUACCAGUCUGAAGCCCCGGCUAAUUACGUGCCAGCAGCCGCGGUAAUACGUAUGGGGCAAGCGUUGUUCGGAAUUAUUGGGCGUAAAGGGCUCGCAGGUGGUUUGUUAAGUUGGUGGUUUAAUCUCUGGGC